GCUCAGCGGCACUUUCUGCCUUUGCAUAAAAGCCAGCACAAUCCUGCCCGAGGUGGUCCACGCCCUGGUGGCUGCGCUAAGUGCUCCCCACACACCGUGUUCAGUCCUUACAGCUGACCUGAGCCCCAGAUGCCUCCUUGUGUGACACCAUCAAGUCCACCAUAAACCAAUGGAUGGAAUAACUCUCAGCAACUUGUCCCUUUCCUCCCCUGCUCCCCUUGGGUAAGAAACUGUGCAAGCUUCAAGAACAGCAGAAAGAAGAGGCAUCUCCAAACCAGUCUUCCUGGCUACUUGGCAGUUCUCCAAGAAGACUUGGCUAGUCUGGGGUAGUAGAUAAUAUCUUUCAGAAAAGCUUCCUGGUAAAAUUGAGUGACUUAUAUACUAGCUAAUCUUUAGACUGCAAAUACAGUAAUUUCUAGGCAUUGUAGUGAGGAUGGAUAGUAAUACGUGGCACUCACACUAAAUACUGAGAAAUCACUGCAGUCACCACUGCUACUGUUACCACCAUUGAGAUAGUAGAAUAGAAGCUUUCUUCACCUGUCUUCACAUCACUGAGCCACUAACCAGUGCUCUCCCCUGCCACUGUAAACAUUCUGUGGCCGCCCACAGUGCUCUGAAAGUUGGAGGCUGGUCAGUGACACCUCAGUGAGCUCUCCCACAUCUGCCUUCAUUCAAUGAGUCAUUUGAUUAACAAGAGUCUGUGGAUUGUUCCCAUGCCUUCUAAUGCCAGUUAUAUUUGUAACUUUAAUUUCAAAAUUCAACUGAAUUACUUACUAUAUAAACUAAAAAACUAUGAGUGUGAAAGCAAGAGAAUAGUUGCUUCUGUGAAAAAUAAGUCAAAUGCUGUGGAAUGACUUGAAAAAUAUGAGUUCCUAAAAAAUAUGCUGAACAAUGCAGUGAGGAAGAAACUACUGUAAAGAUGAAAAAAUACACAAACAAUGAAGGAUUCUGCAUUCAGAUAUCUUUUCACAUUCCCCUCUGCAGUGUGCUUCCAGUUCCAUGCAUCCAGUGUGAACCUGACUUUCUUAUCUCCCAGGGAUUUCUCAGCCAAGCAUCAAUGAAUCUUGAAUCUCAGCUGAUGACACUCCUGGGCAAAAUGGCUAUGAAACUGGAAAGAUGUCUAUGAAACACACAGUCCCUCAAGCCAGAAAAUGCACUUGACACAUCUGUGUCCCUUGAGGAACCUGAAGUUUUGGUGAAUCCAGAAAGCCAUGGAUGGCAGAACUGACCACAGAAAAAGAAACAGAGGCUCAGAAAGGUGAAGCCAAUUGCCUGAAGCCACACAGAAUAUCAGCUGGAGUCAGGAUUCUAACACCAUCCCAUGUAGCUGAUGCUAUCUACUGCCAGCCUGGAGCCAGGCUAAGAGGAAGAGAAAGAAGAAAAUGCCUGCAGAAACAUUCUAUGUAAAGAACACUUUGGGAUCAGAAAAAGAAGCGCGCCCGUGUUUCACUUGCAGCCUCACCCUGCACUAGGAAAUGCUAGGCCAAUGCAGAAAACUACAUCCUGCUUGGCAAGCCCUGCAGGACACACACACACACACACAAGCAUGUGCACACACACGUGGCCCUUCAACGUCACCUCAGCUGUGGGUUAGGAGCCACACCUGUCCACACCUGGUGUUACAACCAUCUGCUCCAUUUCAGGUAACCCUCCUUCCUCCACUGCACAAUCACUUAGAAACUGUAACUCUUCUUGGGCCCAGGUGCACAGGUAAAUUCGGAUCUUUCCCAAGGCCCUGCAUGCUACCGUGAUUUUUAGGAACCCUAUGUCACCUCACAGAUCUGAGCAUAUAUGAGUUGGGCUCGUCACCCGGCCUUCUGGGAGUCUCAGUUUCCCUAUUUGUAAAAUGGACAUAGUAAACCCAUCUCCAUCUCACAGAGGAUAGUAAAAAGAGCCCUGGCCUUGGAGUCUGGGGGCUGGGCCACAGGUCAGGCUUCAAGACCCCCUGGGCCACGUUGGGGACUUGGGUUCCUGAGAUCCAAUCUCUGAGCAUCAGCUUCACUGUCUGUCGCAGAAGCACCAUUUCCCCACCUUGUCCACCUCACAGAACAGCCAGGUGGCUUAGAGGUGAGCUCUCAAAUGUCAACAGGCUUUGCAAACUCCAGUGGUCAGCAUUAUGUGAGUAGUUCAGUCUUUCCACAGGGAUCUCUGGGGCCUCGGGUCACAGCAGACCAGAACUUGACCUGGAGGCUGGUGUCCCCCAAACUGCUGUAUGGACCCUGCAACAGCUGGGGAGUCCUCGUCUCAACAGCCCUGCUGUCUCCCACUGAGGUCAUCUGCUGGCCCUCCUGGUGGCCCUGUGAGGAAGCCAGGAGUCACUGAUGCUGCUCUAUCGACGGCGACAGAUGGAUCACAGCUGAUAAGUGACUUGCCCAGAGUUUUGCAGCUUGGAACUCACAGAGCAGAAGCUGGGAAUCAGGUGGGGAAGCACCCAGCUCUCUGCUUCUCCUAAGCCAAGCUCUGCAGCGAGGUCCUGCUUCCCUCGGGACUCCUCUUUCAGCAUGACAUGAACUCAUUUUGAAUGUAAAGGCAAUGUCAAAGCCCUACAGCUAUUUAUACCAGAGCAUGUGUUUAUUAGCUCACUCUCCAGGGGGAAUAUUGCUGUUGUGAAUACACAACUACUCAUAACUACCGUCUUAAAAAUCUUCUCUACCCCAAAAUAUUUACUAAUGUAUUUAAGUAUUUAUUUUCUUGUAGUGAAAGGAAAUCAAGAUAAUUCUAAAAUUGUGGAAGAAAACAAAAAAAGUAUAAAGGAGAAAACAGAAGCUUCACAUAUUCUAACCAUUAUUAAUCUCAAAAUAUUUUAUUCCAGGUCCUUGUCUAUGGUCCAGGUCCUUGUCUAUGGUCCUAUAGCCUAUGCUGAGUGACACUGUGCUAUGUGUAUGCCAUUUGCACUCACCGUGGGGUCAUAAGCGUGCCAUUUCCUUUUUAUUAAAAAAAUACUUUGCAUACAUGAAAGUAUGUUUGCAUUAAAACUAUGCAAACAUCAGUUUUAAUAACUGUAUAAAUAUUCCAUCACAAGGACAUUCCAUAAUUUAUUUAAUCACUUUGGUAGUGUUGGACAUUUAAUUUUUUAAAAAGUCAAAUAAUGCCAGGAUUAAUGCCUGUUUAUAUGAACCAGUUUUCAUUUCCUGAUUAUUUUCUUCGGCCAGAUCCCCAAAAGUGGAAUUACUGAUAAAAGUAGGUGAGUGUUUUUAACACAUUUCUUCUUAUACACACACACACACACACACACACACACACACACCCAUCAACAAAUAGUUUUUCCUGGAAGGAACUUCCAGUAGUGUAUGAGAAAGCCUAUUGCACCACACCAUCCCCAGCAAUGAGAAUUACUACUGUAAAAAAAUCUUUGUUACAUUAAAUUUUUGGAGGACAUCUCAUUUUCUUGAUUGCAUUUGAUUAACUCAAAAUGUAUUUCUACAGGGUGGGGAACAUCACACACUGGGGCCUGUCGUGGGGUGGGGGGAUGGGGGAGGGAUAGCAUUAGGAGAAAUACCUAAUGUAAAUGACGAGUUAAUGGGUGCAGCAAAC
rnacentral:lncRNA from 1 species